rnacentral:rRNA from 1 species
AGUGAACGCUGGCGGUAGGCCUAACACAUGCAAGUCGAACGGCAGCACAGUAAGAGCUUGCUCUUACGGGUGGCGAGUGGCGGACGGGUGAGGAAUACAUCGGAAUCUACUUUUUCGUGGGGGAUAACGUAGGGAAACUUACGCUAAUACCGCAUACGACCUACGGGUGAAAGCAGGGGAUCUUCGGACCUUGCGCGAUUGAAUGAGCCGAUGUCGGAUUAGCUAGUUGGCGGGGUAAAGGCCCACCAAGGCGACGAUCCGUAGCUGGUCUGAGAGGAUGAUCAGCCACACUGGAACUGAGACACGGUCCAGACUCCUACGGGAGGCAGCAGUGGGGAAUAUUGGACAAUGGGCGCAAGCCUGAUCCAGCCAUACCGCGUGGGUGAAGAAUGCCUUCGGGUUGUAAAGCCUUUUUGUUGGGAAAGAAAAGCAGCAGGUUAAUACCCCGCUGUUCUGACGGUACCCAAAGAAUAAGCACCGGCUAACUUCGUG